CAGCUACCAUCUGGUCCCUGGGCAUCCUGCUGCACGAGAUGGUCUGUGGGAAGAUGCCUUUCAGGAGGGGCUGGAACUUCAGCUGGGGCCAGCUCUCACUGCCACAACGGCUCUCUCCAGAGUGCCAAAAUCUGAUUGGGUGGUGUUUAUCCAUGCACCCCUUGGCCAGACCCUCAUUAGAAGAGCUGUUCUGUCAUCCUUGGAUGCAGGAUAUUCCUCUGCCCUAGAAGAAGGGAGAGAGCCACAGGCACACUUUGAUCCAGGGCCCUGAGAAGGAGAAGGAGCUCCCAGAGAAGCUGUACCGGGUGGGGCUGCUGCUGCAGGAGACAGCGAGGAUGACAUCAAGGAUGACAACCUCUUCCUCAACCUGGCCACCAGCAGUUGAAGAGGAAGCAUUCUAGGUGGUCCAGUCUGGAUUGGGAAGUGCUUGGGACCAGCUGCAGCGUGGAUGGGCCGUGCCCUUGGAGCAGGCUGAGGACAUCGUUUGGGACCAGCUUUUCUUCCAGCCGUGGAUGGCGUGAGCCAGGCUCUGCGGAUGCUGAGGCUGCUCUGGGCUCUGCCAGGGCUCUGCUGGAGCUCAGCACCGGGCUGGAAUCAGCCAAAGAAGAAAUGGUGUCACCUGCAGCACAGACUUGCUUGAGCAUUUUGACAACACAGCUCAAGUUUGCAGCGUGGACACCUCCAAGGGAA